rnacentral:rRNA from 1 species
UCUGCAACUCGGCUACAUGAAGCUGGAAUCGCUAGUAAUCGCGAAUCAGAAUGUCGCGGUGAAUACGUUCCCGGGUCUUGUACACACCGCCCGUCACACCAUGGGAGUUGGCAACGCCCGAAGUCAGUGACCCAACCUUAACAGGAGGGAGCUGCCGAAGGCGGGGCUGAUAACUGGGGUGAAGUCGUAACAAGGUAAC